rnacentral:snRNA from 1 species
UAUCUGUUCUUAUCAGUUUAAUAUCUGAUAUGUUCUUGAUGUGAGAACUUUAUAUUAAAUGGAUUUUUGGAACAGGGAGAUGGACUAGGAGCUUGCUUCAUCCACUCCAUGCAUCAACCUGGUAUUGCAGUACUGCUGGGUAUGGUGC